GCGCUGUGAUGAUGUUUUCCCAGCCAUUCGUAGUUUCCACCAGAGGUCCUGAGGACCAAAGAUGGCUUGAACCUUCCUUGGAUGUCUGAGCGA